rnacentral:rRNA from 1 species
AUUGAACGCUGGCGGCGUGCCUAAUACAUGCAAGUAGAACGCAGUUGCGAACGGGUGAGUAACGCGUAGGUAACUGCCUCAUAGCGGGGGAUAACUAUUGGAAACGAUAGCUAAUACCGCAUACUGUGAGAUGGACCUGCGUUGUAUUAGCUAGUUGGUGAGGUAAAGGCUCACCAAGGCGACGGUACAUAGCCGGGCUGAGAGGGUGAUCGGCCACACUGGGACUGGGGCACGGCCCAGAAUCCUACGGGAGGCAGCAGUAGGGAAUCUUCGGCAAUGGACGGAAGGCUGGACGCGCAACGCCGCGGGAGUUAAGAAGGUUUUCGGAUCGUAAAGGUCUUUUGUUAGAGAAGCGUUAACUACCCAGAAAGGGACGGCUAACUACGUGCCAGCAGCCGCGGUAAUUC